rnacentral:rRNA from 1 species
GAUGAACGCUGGCGGCGCGCCUAACACAUGCAAGUCGAACGAUUAAAGCACCUUCGGGUGUGUAUAAAGUGGCGAACGGCUGAGUAACACGUGGGCAACCUGCCCCUUUCAUUGGGAUAGCCACGGGAAACCGUGGAUAAUACCGAAUACUUCGAGACUUCCGCAUGGAAGACUCGAGAAAGCUCCGGCGGAGAGGGAUGGGCCCGCGGCCUGUUAGCUUGUUGGUGGGGUAACGGCCUACCAAGGCAAUGAUGGGUAGCUGGGUUGAGAGACCGACCAGCCAGAUUGGGACUGAGACACGGCCCAGACUCCUACGGGAGGCAGCAGUGGGGAAUCUUGCACAAUGGGCGAAAGCCUGAUGCAGCGACGCCGCGUGCGGGAUGAAGGCCUUCGGGUUGUAAACCGCUUCCAGCAGGGACGAGGCGAAAGUGACGGUACCUGCAGAAGAAGCCCCGGCUAACUACGUG